CUACCACAUCCAAGGAAGGCAGCAGGCGCGCAAAUUACCCAAUCCUAAUUCAGGGAGGUAGUGACAAUAUAUAACGAUACAGGGCCCUUUUGGGUCUUGUAAUUGAAAUGAGUACAAUGUAAAUACCUUAACGAGGAACAAUUGGAGGGCAAGUCUGGUGCCAGCAGCCGCGGUAAUUCCAGCUCCAAUAGCGUAUAUUAAAGUUGUUGCAGUUAAAAAGCUCGUAGUUGAACCUUGGGCCUGGUUAGCCGGUCUGCUUUUUUGCAUGUACUGGAUUUAACCGGGUCUUUCCUUCUGGCUAACCUUUUGGUGAACCAGGACUUUUACUUUGAAAAAAUUAGAGUGUUCAAAGCAGGCCUUUGCUCGAAUAUAUUAGCAUGGAAUAAUAGAAUAGGACGUUAUGGUUCUAUUUUGUUGGUUUCUAGGACCAUCGUAAUGAUUAAUAGGGACGGUCGGGGGCAUCAGUAUUCAAUUGUCAGAGGUGAAAUUCUUGGAUUUAUUGAAGACUAACUACUGCGAAAGCAUUUGCCAAGGACGUUUUCAUUAAUCAAGAACGAAAGUUAGGGGAUCGAAGAUGAUCAGAUACCGUCGUAGUCUUAACCAUAAACUAUGCCGACUAGGGAUCGGGUGGUGUUCUUUUUUGACCCACUCGGCACCUUACGAGAAAUCAAAGUCUUUGGGUUCUGG
rnacentral:rRNA from 1 species